rnacentral:tRNA from 17 species
GCGGAUGUAGUUUAAUGGUAAAACCCCUGCCUUCCAAGCAGACGACGGGAGUUCGAUUCUCCUCAUCCGCUCCA